UACAGAGGUCUCAAGCGUUGUUCGGAUUCAUUGGGCGUAAAGGGUGCGUAGGCGGCGCGGUAAGUCGGGUGUGAAAUCUUGGAGCUUAACUCCGAAACUGCAUUCGAUACUGCCGUGCUUGAGGACUGGAGAGGAGACUGGAAUUUACGGUGUAGCGGUGAAAUGCGUAGAUAUCGUAAGGAAGACCAGUGGCGAAGGCGGUUCUCUGGGCAUGUCCUGACGCUGAGGAGCGAAAGUGUGGGGAGCGAACAGG
rnacentral:rRNA from 1 species